rnacentral:rRNA from 1 species
CCUACGGGGCGCAGCAGUGGGGAAUAUUGGACAAUGGGCGAAAGCCUGAUCCAGCCAUGCCGCGUGUGUGAAGAAGGCCUUCGGGUUGUAAAGCACUUUCAGUGGGGAAGAAAGCCUUGGGGCUAAUACCCUCGAGGAAGGACAUCACCCACAGAAGAAGCACCGGCUAACUCCGUGCCAGCAGCCGCGGUAAUACGGGAGGGUGCGAGCGUUAAUCGGAAUUACUGGGCGUAAAGCGCGCGUAGGCGGUCUGAUAAGCCGGUUGUGAAAGCCCCGGGCUCAACCUGGGAACGGCAUCCGGAACUGUCAGGCUAGAGUGCAGGAGAGGAAGGUAGAAUUCCCGGUGUAGCGGUGAAAUGCGUAGAGAUCGGGAGGAAUACCAGUGGCGAAGGCGGCCUUCUGGACUGACACUGACGCUGAGGUGCGAAAGCGUGGGUAGCAAACAGGAUUAGAUACCCUGGUAGUC